GACGAACGCUGGCGGCGUGCUUAACACAUGCAAGUCGAACGAGACGAUUGAAAGCUUGCUUUUGAGAGUCGAGUGGCAAACGGGUGAGUAACGCGUAGACAACCUGCCGUAAAGAUGGGGACAACAGUCGGAAACGACUGCUAAUACCGCAUGAUGCAUUUGGGCUGCAUGGCUCUGAAUGCCAAAGAUUUAUCGCUCUGAGAUGGACUCGCGUCUGAUUAGCUAGUUGGUGAGGUAACGGCUCACCAAGGCGACGAUCAGUAGCCGGACUGAGAGGUUGGCCGGCCACAUUGGGACUGAGACACGGCCCAG
rnacentral:rRNA from 1 species